rnacentral:lncRNA from 1 species
AAUUUAAAUGCCAAAUUAGAGUUUUGACCCCAAUUUUACGGUUCACUGAACAUAGAAAAUGAUAGUGCAAAUUUCAGGUUAAAGUUUUUGGCUUCAGGUUAAAGUUUUUGGUCAAGGUAGAUUUUGAUGAAGUUGAAGUCCAAUCAGCUUGAAACUUAGUACACAUGUGUCCUAUGAUAUGAUCUUUCUAAUUUGAAUGCCAAAUUAGAGUUUUAACCCCAAUUUCACGGUUCACUGAACAUAGAAAAUGAUAGUGCAAAUUUCAGGUUAAAGUUUUUUGCUUCAGGUUAAAGUUUUUGUCAAGGUAGUUUUUGAUGAAGUUGAAGUCCAAUCAACUUGAAACUUAGUAUACAUGUGCCCUAUGAUAUGAUCUUUCUAAUUUAAAUGCCAAAUUAGAGUUUUGACCCCAAUUUUACGGUUCACUGAACAUAGAAAAUGAUAGUGCAAAUUUCAGGUUAAAGUUUUUGGUCAAGGUAGUUUUUGAUGAAGUUGAAGUCCAAUCAACUUGAAACUUAGUAUACAUGUGCCCUAUGAUAUGAUCUUUCUAAUUUAAAUGCCAAAUUAGAU